AACGAACGCUGGCGGCAUGCCUAACACAUGCAAGUCGAACGAGACCUUCGGGUCUAGUUGCGCACGGGGGCGUAACGCGUGGGAACCUUCCCUUAGGUUCGGAAUAACUCCCCGAAAGGGGUGCUAAUACCGGGUAAUGUCUUCGAAUCAAAGAUUUAUCGACAUGGGAUGGGCCCGCGUUGGUUUGACUAGUUGGUAGGGUAAAAGCCUACCAAGGCGACGAUCCAUAGCUGGGCUGAGAGGAUGAUCAGCCACUCUGGGACUGAGCAACGGCCCAGACUCCUACGGGAGGCAGCAGAGGGGAAUAUUGGACAAUGGGCGAAAUGCUGAUCCAGCAAUGCCUCGUGAGUGAUGAAGGCCGUAGGGUUGUAAAGCUCUUUUACCCGGGAUGAUAAUGACAGUACCGGGAGAAUAAGCUCCGGCUAACUUCGUG
rnacentral:rRNA from 1 species